CUCAACACCAAUUUCUUUCCUCUCUCUGCUUCACAGGCCCGGCCCAUUGCUGCCCUCAGGUGGAGAGGGUGAGAUCCAAAGGGAACCUGGUGAGCACCUCACCUCCCUCCUCUCUUUCCAAACCCCAAGGCACGGCUUGGCUCGUUGCGUCAGAAUGCCAGCAUUGCUCGGCAUCUGCCAGCUGGAGGAGGGCAGCCGUGGGUGCAGGGUCUUCUCCACAGGGAGAAGAGUAAAUGUGACAGCUCUAAGGUGGCCCAGCAAGGGCUCUGGCAUAGGAUUGGAGUUUCAACCACACCAACGAGAAGGCGAGAAAUGGGCAAUGAAGUUUGGAGGUGUCACUGGAACAGAGCAGCCCCAGAUCUGGGACCAACACAGACAAGAUCCGGCCUGGAGUGUCCCUAGAUGCAUGUGGACUUGCCUGGGUGACAAAUGAACUCGUGCCUGGGGCCUGGGAGUGAUGGCCAGUACGUCACACAUCUUCCAGCUUCGCUUAGGAGCUGCGGGAACAAUGGGAAGACACGGAGGAGAACGCUGUGGGCUAGAGGUCCCAUUCGACAAAUGCGAUCACCAUACUGUCCUAGAGCAAAUGCAUGGAAGAGGUGUGAUUCGAACUCAGGUGCUUUCCAGAGGCCAGGGUAAAAAUCCUGCAUCAUCCUGGGAGAGCGUCAGGGCCGGGACUGGGCCUCCUUCAUUGGCUGUCCCAGGGAAGCCUGGCUUCUUAGCUCCCUUCUCAAUCUCUCUCUCUCUCACUCUGCCUCCUUCCCUCCCUCCACGUCCACUCCCUACCUGCUGGUGACAGCCGGUAGGCCCCCCUGGUGUCUCUCUGGCUGCUUUCUGCUCGCCCUCCAGGGUCCUCCUCCCACCUGACUGGGGCUGUCUGCCCGGCCAGAGAGGCCAAGGGACUGACCGGGCAGGCCUGGAAGCCAUCUUGAGCACAGCCGGCUCAUGACAGACACUCCCCGGAGCUCAGGGAGGGCGUCCUGCCUCGGCCAGCAGAGCCAGGAAGUGAAAUCACCUGCUACUUGGGGAAAGGGACCGGUGGGCCGGCCAGGCUGGGUUGGGCUGGGCUGAGGAGCCGGGAGGAGGGAGAGGCCCCUUGGCCCUGAG
rnacentral:lncRNA from 1 species